rnacentral:rRNA from 1 species
GACGAACGCUGGCGGCGUGCCUAAUACAUGCAAGUUGAGCGCUGAAGGUUGGUACUUGUACCAACUGGAUGAGCAGCGAACGGGUGAGUAACGCGUGGGGAAUCUGCCUUUGAGCGGGGGACAACAUUUGGAAACGAAUGCUAAUACCGCAUAAAAACUUUAAACACAAGUUUAAGGUUGGAAAGAUGCAAUUGCAUCACUCAAAGAUGAUCCCGCGUUGUAUUAGCUAGUUGGUGAGGUAAAGGCUCACCAAGGCGAUGAUACAUAGCCGACCUGAGAGGGUGAUCGGCCACAUUGGGACUGAGACACGGCCCAAACUCCUACGGGAGGCAGCAGUAGGGAAUCUUCGGCAAUGGACGAAAGUCUGACCGAGCAACGCCGCGUGAGUGAAGAAGGUUUUCGGAUCGUAAAACUCUGUUGGUAGAGAGGAACGUUGGUGAGAGUGGAAAGCUCAUCAAGUGACGGUAACUACCCAGAAAGGGACGGCUAACUACGUG